AAACGCGUCGUUUUGAGUUUAGUAAAAUGCUUCUAAUAUAAUAUAAAAUGUAUUUGGUCCUUCUUCGUCUUUCUUUUCUUCCCCAAUUUUCUUAGGGUUUUCAGAGUUUCAAUUUCACCCUCAAACACCGCAAUUUAUCCCAAUUUCCAUUUCAAUAACAAGAAAUUCAACUCUUUACCACCACAUCUCCGUUCCUUUAUUGCUCAAUUUCAAGUUUCCCUUGAAUUUUUCAGGGAAAUUUUUUUCCUUUUAAUUUGUUAUCUAAUUGUGAAAAAGAUAGUUUAAGCUUAUCGGGGAUCAGGUUUAGGGAGAUGCCUAGAGACUUGUCGCGAUCCCGGUCGCCUCCCUAUAGGCGCAGGCAUUCACCGUCUCCGGUGGGACACAGAUAUAGCAGGAGGAGCAGACGAGAUAGAAGCCGAUCUCCAUAUUCAUAUAGCAGGUGAUCCUGUUUGGAUGUUUAUUUUUCUCUGAUAUAUCUCUUAUUGAGCUAGAGUGAUAGGAGACUUGUGUUUUACAAAUUAUUUGCUGUGUAUCUUUAACGCUUCAUUUGUCGGUAUUUUGCUGUAAUGUUUUAUGAUGUAAACUGUACCUAUUUGCAGCUCCGAGUAUUGUAUUAACCAUCAUGUUACUAUUGCAUUUACUGUGAGAAGUUUUUCUAAAUUGAAUUUGUUAAAAUCGCAUGUAUGAUCUACUAUGCUACAAGGUAUAUCAAAUAGUUUUGCUUUGAUUUCUAUCAAAAAUGAUUUCUUAAAGAACCUUGAACAUGGAUGAGUUAUUUUUAUUAAUGAUUUAAAAAUAAUGCAAGGAUAAUAUCAUUCAAGUAAGUAAUGGGGCAUUAUUUUCGUAGUUCGCAUAAGGCACUCAAAAUCUCAGGAAGACCCUGAUUCUACCAUAUAUAUUAGAUUUGUUUUCAGUUUUUAUGUUCUAUGGACAUAACAAGGGUGUUAUACUAUUACAAUAAUAGUCUACAAAUGUUGUAUUUAUAAUUGAACUGAUAUUUUGGCAAGGGCUAUUUGAUUGACCAGGGGUUAGCUCUGAGGUCAAACAUGUAAAACAUUACAUUUUAGUGGGGCUCUUCAUCUUUCCGUUAUAUUAACGUCUUAUUUAAAUGUAAAACAAUACAUGUAAAACAAUACAUUUUUGAAUAUCUUUGAGGGAGUAUUUGCGGAAAACUGACUAUUUACUUUGUUUGAAGAAAUGCAUACUGGCACUUUGAUGAGGACAUAAACUUAGGCAGUCCUCACACUUUCAGUACUACAGAGCUAUUGUGUAUUUAUGACUAAAACGUGGUGGUCAAUGUUAAACCCCAUUGUUGAUAAAAUGCUGGUUGUGGUGGAAUGUAAUUUAAAUUCAAUAUAUACUCCGUAGUUUUUUAUCAUUCAGCUUCUUUGUUGUACGUGAUCGAUUGGGCAAGAAUGGACGGCUAGAUUUAUUCUAGUAUGCCAUUUGGACUUCUUCUGUUGUGUUAAGCUCGUUGAUUAGUUGAGACACUGAAUAAGAUGCAUGCUGUUAUGAUGGAUGAUUGACAUUGCUAAUAUUCAAGUAUUUGAAGACCUUGUCAUAAUAAGUGUCUGGUGAUGGUGUCACGUACUUUUUGUUACUUGUUAAUUGUUAUUGGGUUUUUUUCUUUCGCGUGGUUUCCUAUUUGUGUGUUGAAAAUCAUUAAUAAAACAUAUAUAGAGCAUUAUGUAGAGAACAAGAUAGGAUAUAUGAUGUAUGCAUAAUGAAAUAAGAAACAUCAGUUUCUUCACAUAACAUGGAAAGCGAGGGAUAUGAACAGGUGGUGGGUUCUGAUAAGUGUUUUUUCAUUGCUCGAUUGUACCAUUUGCUUCUUCGUGUGAUAAAAGAUGGAGCACACAAUGAUUGUUUUAUGAGGUAACUGUACAUGUUUUCAUAUUAACAUGCUAGAUGGUGAGCAGGAUUUAUAUUCACUUAAGAUAGCUGUUUGGUUUUAUGAGGGUUCUUUGCUUAUGAUCAUCUGUAUCACCCCACAGGCGAAAAAGUCGUUCUAUUUCACCAAGAGGCCGCAGAAGUCCUUCUACAACUACUCGUCGUCGCAGAAGUCGGUCUCCAACUGCAAAACGAUACAGAAGACAAAGAAGUAGGAGUUCCUCAUUGUCUCCUGCUCAUAAAUCUUCUAGUUCAAGCCUUGGGUCAGUAGAGCAGAAAACUGCAAUUGAAAAACAAAGGAAAGAAGAAGAGAAGAAAAGGUAGAUUAAAAGCUUAUGAUUUUGUUCUAAUUCUGCUUUUACUUCACUUUUAUUUGAUUCAUGCUUUAAGAUGGACGUCAUUUUUUUUGAAAAGGUUAAGAUGGACGUCAUUAGUUGGCUCUUCUGGUUUUUUAUGAGAAUUUCAGUAUUUUAAUUAUAAUUUAUUGUUGAAACUAUAGAACAUUGACAUUAUUUAUAAUGCACAUAACUCCUAUACACAAAAGGUGCAUAUUAUCAGUAAGACACGGACUGGCUGGGAAUUAGGAAAGGAAGGUUAUUAUGGGAAACCUUUUUAACCAUUUCCUUUUUUUUUUUUUGUUAUAUAUCAUAGCUGGAAAUUGGCUUACUCUAUUUCCAGGGCAUCUAUUCUAUUGAUUUGUAUUAUGAUUAAUUUCUUAUUGUAUAGAACAUGUUGGCUAUCAUUCAAGACAUAUGUAUUAGGUAAUGGAAAAUUUCCCUGCUUUUGCAGAUCUGUAGGCUAACGGCUAUGCUAUUAUGUUUUGCUCCUAUUGCUUUUCCACCCCUUCUUAGACUUGUAAUAUGAACAUUAGGAUUUUUGACUAGUUGGUGGUCUUCUUGACUGUAACAAAAAUAAAAUAAUAAUUAUGUAAAACCAAUAGGAUAUUGCAUUUCUUAUGAAGCAGAACGUAUCUGUCUCCUUUGUGGGUGUCAUGCUUUCUUGGGGUUUCUCAUGAAUUUGCAGAGGGAUUAGAAGCCAUACAUUUUUUUCUUACUUUUUUCCCAAUGCUCUAUGUUUUGGUUGUUUUUGGAGGAUUUCUUAUUCUCCCUUGCUUUUCUGUUUGGAUUUUUUCUUUCAGCCUGGAAAGGAAAACGUUGCAUCUUACUUUCCUUUCUUUCUCUAUUGUACAUGUGACCUUAGUUCUGGAUUAAGCUCGAUCCUUGCAGGAAGUAAUUAUCACAUUGAUUGAUUCCGUGUCUCAAUUUAUUAUUUUUGUACCAGCUUAGCAUAGCAAACUGUUAUCUUCCUUGGUCUUUACCAGGGGGUUGUGGUUGUUUGUGGGAGUUUGAUCCUCCACAUUCCCCAUUUCCACCCCCCGGGGUCCAAAAUGUGUGUGAUUAUACUAAACUGAAAAGGCGAUAAAUAAUUUAUAUUUAUUACUUUCUGCUGUCAGCAGCCACAUAAUAUUUGUUGAGUCCCUGAAACUGUAUGGGAUACAAUUCUUCACAUUUGUGUGAGAUGGAAAAGGAAGUUGAGCUAUAGCUCUGUUGUUUGAUUUCUGCGUUUUGACACUGUAAAUGUCAAAUUAUUAAAAUAUGUUGCACUUAUUGACCAUUAUUUUUUUAUGACUUGUCCCAUUCUUAGCAUGUCACCCUUUUAUGGCACUUAUUUGUUGAGGGCUUGAGGGUUAGAAUAUCUACUUAAAUACAAUGCAUUUUCUUAGUAAAAUGGAGUGAACUACUUCUUAAGUAAAGUUACAUAGUUAGAUUAUUUGAUCUUCACAACACUCUAAUGGGAACUUAAGCUCUCAUUGUAGAAAAGAUGCAGAGUCUUGUCUUGGGUGGUUUGUGCAUGUUUCGAGAAGAUCUUUAGAAACACUGUCACUUUCGAGGAGGCUGACCGGAUAUAGGAUAGUUCAAUAGAAAGAGGUAGGGAAUACCAAGAGAAACUAUAUUUCAACACCAUUAAAAGAGAUCCAGAGAUUAUGACUCUAUCUUUAAACUUAUUAGAUGAUAGGGCGUUAUGGUGGUGUUUUUUGAUUCAUGUAGCUUACCCCCAUCUAUUUGGAAAAGAUUUGGUUGUUGUGUGGUAAUCGUUUUCAUUAAGUUUCCUUUAUCACUUAACUAUUUGUCAUGGGCGAAGGUAUAUAGGAGGAUAAGUUGUUUAGGUUGCAGAAGUCAAAAACGCUAAAACAUUAUGGGCAUGUGUCUUUUUCUGAUUAAAAAUGAGGGCGUCUGUGUCUUUUUCAUAAUUAAAACAAGGGCUUUUGUGUCUUUUCUGCUAAUCUUCACUGUUGCGUUCAUCUUCACGGUUUCUGCGUGUUUCUUCUGCGAUUUUGCUUCCACGUGCAGCGCUACAGCAGCAAUACAUGACAGCUCUGCCACAGCAUUUUGUGUAGCGCCGGACCUCUUCUACGCUACACACCGUUGUGAUUGCUGCUGUUACCACUGAUAUUGACUAAUGAGAGAUAGACCUGACCUUGUAACCCAUCUCAAAGGUUCUGGGUUUCAACCCUUUGGAUGCAAUGCUCAUCCUUUGUUGCUUUUCAUUUGUAGCUUAACCUUGGCAUUUUAUUAGAGUAAAUUGUUGGCUAUGAAGAGUAAAUAUUAUUUUCAAUAGUAUAACGUUGUGCUGAAACAUGGUUUGUCAAUUGCCUUGAUGCUUUUAUCACUUAACUGGCGAAAGAAUUUGACCUAUUUUACAACAACUAAGUUGGCAGAGAUGUAUAAUGCAAAAAUUCUAGUAUUUCCAUGAUUAGUUUAAAACUGCAGCAUGUUACUUUAAUUUCUUCUCCACAGGCUUAUCUGAAGGAAGGUACUGCUAUAAUUCAACUUGUUAUGUUUGAUGAUCAAAUUGGCUGCCUCAUUUAUCUACUGUUCACCAGUUUUGAAACAUUUGUUUGGAUCAGGAUUCAAUAGAGGUAUGCCUUAAAAGCAUAACCAUUUUUAGUGCCUUUAUCACCAUGGAGGUUAGUUUGUCGUUGAUUGUGGUUUUCUAUUAAGUACUACAGGAAAGUAUAAAAUUGAAAAGGAAGGGGAAAAUGUUAAGGGUUGAAAAAAUUGUAGCAUACAUGUUUAUUGUCCAGUUUCUAUGUGAGAUGCCAAUGAUAAGCAAUAUUGAGGCUACUUAUAUGUGGCAUUCCCCUGUUUGAGUAACCAGUUUCCUGCUUAAUAUUUUGUAUGUUUUCACAGGCGUCAGCAGGAAGCAGAGUUGAAAUUAAUAGAAGAAGAGACUGCAAAGAGGGUUGAAGAAGCUAUUCGUAAGAGAGUUGAAGAAAGCUUGAAUUCUGAGGAGGUUCGGGUGGAGAUUCAAAGGCGGUUGGAAGAGGGAAGAA